rnacentral:tRNA from 2 species
CGCGGCGUGGAGCAGUGGUAGCUCGCCAGGCUCAUAACCUGGAGGUCGUAGGUUCAAAUCCUGCCGCCGCAA